rnacentral:rRNA from 1 species
UGGGGAAUAUUGCACAAUGGGCGCAAGCCUGAUGCAGCCAUGCCGCGUGUAUGAAGAAGGCCUUCGGGUUGUAAAGUACUUUCAGCGGGGAGGAAGGGAGUAAAGUUAAUACCUUUGCUCAUUGACGUUACCCGCAGAAGAAGCACCGGCUAACUCCGCGCCAGCAGCCGCGGUAAUACGGAGGGUGCAAGCGCUAAUCGGAAUUACUGGGCGUAAAGCGCACGCAGGCGGUUUGUUAAGUCAGAUGUGAAAUCCCCGGGCUCAACCUGGGAACUGCAUCUGAUACUGGCAAGCUUGAGUCUCGUAGAGGGGGGUAGAAUUCCAGGUGUAGCGGUGAAAUGCGUAGAGAUCUGGAGGAAUACCGGUGGCGAAGGCGGCCCCCUGGACGAAGACUGACGCUCAGGUGCGAAAGCGUGGGGAGCAAACAGG